AGCUGCUAUAAAUAUUCAUGUACAGAUUUUUGUGUGAAUGUAAGUCUUCAUUUGUCUGAGAUAAAUGCCCAGGGGUGCAAUUGCUGGGUUGUAUGGUAGUCACAUGUUUAGCUUUUAAAGAAAUUGCCAAACUGUCAGAGUGGCUGUCCCAUUUUACUUUCCACCAGCAAUGUAUGAGUGAUUUGUCUUUUCUUCAUCCUUAGCAGCAUUUGGGGGCUAUUUUUUAUUUCAGCCGUUCUUACAAGUCCACGCUGCUUUUAUGAGCUGUAACACUCACUGCGAAGAUCUGCAGCUUCACUCCUGAGCCCAGCGAGACCAUGAGCCCACCGGGAGGAAGGAACAACUCCAGACAUGCUGCCUUAAGAGCUGUAACACUCACUGCGAAGGUCUGCAGCUUCACUCCUGAGCCAGUGAGACCACGAACCCGCCACAAGGAAGAAACUCUGAACACAUCAUCUGAACAUCAGAAGGAACAAACUCCAGACGCGCCACCUUAACAGCUGUAACACUCACCGCGAGGGUCCGCGGCUUCAUUCUUGAAGUCAGUGAGACCAAGAACCCACCAAUUCCGGACACACCAGGACCUUCCGCUGCUCGCUCCUCCUCGUCCCUUCUACCCGCUGGGGUCAGCCUCAUCGACCCCGUCUCAACUCUGACACAGUCUCUCUCUCUCUCUCUCUCUCUAUAUAUAUAUAUAUAUAUUUUUUUUUUAGAUGGAGUCUCGCUUUGCUCCCCAGGCUGGAGUGCAGUGGUGCAAUCUCUGCUCACUGCAAGCUCCACCUCCUGGUUUCACGCCAUUCUCCUGCCUCAGCGUCCCAAGUAG
rnacentral:lncRNA from 10 species